GACGAACGCUGGCGGCGUGCUUAACACAUGCAAGUCGAACGAAGUGGCGAACGGGUGAGUAACGCGUAAUCAACCUGCCCUUCAGAGGGGGACCACCGUUGGAAAUGACUGCUAAUACCGCAUACUGAAGGUGGGGAUUGAGUCUGACUAGCUAGUUGGAGGGGUAACGGCCCACCAAGGCGAUGUUCAGUAGCCGGUCUGGGAGGAAGAACGGCCACAUUGGGACUGGGACACGGCCCAGACUCCUACGGGAGGCAGCAGUGGGGAAUCUUCCGAAAUGGACGAAAGGCUGACGGAGCAACGCCGCGUGAGUGAUGACGGCCUUCGGGGUGUAAAGCUCUGUUAAUCGGGACGCGGUACCGGAAUAGAAAGCCACGGCUAACUACGUGCCAGCAGCCGCGGUAAUUC
rnacentral:rRNA from 1 species